GUUGCAAUGAACAUUAAAAUGCACGUAUCUCUUCCAGAUAAUGAUUACAUUUCCUCUGGAAAUAUGUCCAGAAGAGGAACUGGAAGAUCAUAAGAAAGAAUCUGACACUGAAGUUGCAACAGCCACCUUGUGUCAAUAAGGAAAGAGCUGGCUGGAGAAGUCUGUACUGAAGAAAAGUGGUGAGCAUCAGGUGGGCAGGAAACCUACAUAGAAAAUACCCUGUGAUCAGCACUUUUGUCUUGCUGCUCUGGCUGCUCUCUGUAGAUCCCAGAUAUAAUAUGCUCAUUUCUUUCACUGUAUAAAAUGAACUGACUACAGGAAGAAACUGAGCAAAUUAACACCUAAAUCAAGAGGAAAUCAACAACCCUGGGAACCCACAGAACACGUCUGACAGCUGCAGGACUCAGAUUCUCAGUUCAACAAAUUAUGAUUCAGGAAGACUCUCUGACAGGAAAAACAGUUUCUACUACAACCUAGUGGGUUUAUAUGUUAGUGUGUGUGAGCCUGAGGGGGUGGAGGAAGGGGUGAAGGAGGGAGGGAGGGAG